GAGAGAAACUGCACCGCCAGAACGCCUUGCCAAAUCCCACAGGAGCUCAGUGGUGGAAGCAGCGGAGGAAGACCACAGUGGGAAAUGGCACAAAGGCUGGCACCUCACCAAGAACGGCAGGGAUGGAGAAGCAGUUAACAAUGGAGGAGCUGCUUUAAUUCUCCUCCUUUCUUUUCAGCUAUUGGAAGAAUGCUUAGAUGAUUUCCAACACUGUAGUGGACAACAGCACCAUCUGAAGCACUCGGUGAAACCCAAAUACGUUCUGGAUGCUUCCUCAAUGCUGUGACACAGGCAUAAGGCCUUGAUCUCAUUCAGGCCCUUAGACUAACCAGCCUCCAGACUCAUAAACCAAAUAAAGUUUUGUGGAUUUUGAAUGACCUAAUCUCAGGGCAAGGGUUGCAAACUUAGACACAUAAGGAACCGGGCAAGAUGGUGCUGAUGGACAAAGGCAGGAUGUUCUCUGCGCUCUGGUUCCCCCUCUAAAAGGAAACAAUGACUGAUAUGUGACAGUCUGCCAACAACCCUCCGCCGGCAGUGUUUAGAAUGGCUCUUGAAAUCCCUUGAGGUCCUAGAACUUCUGUCUGUCUUCUCCAAAAUUUCAAGGAAAUAUGACAUUUUCUUUUAAGG
ensembl:lincRNA A430048G15Rik RIKEN cDNA A430048G15 gene